rnacentral:rRNA from 1 species
AUUGAACGCUGGCGGCAUGCCUAACACAUGCAAGUCGAGCGAGCCGCGGACGGGUGAUUUAUGUCUGGGCUACUGCCCGAUGGAGGGGAAUAACUACUGGAAACUGUUGCUAAUACCGCCUACCAUCUGAUGUUCCCAGAUAGCAUUAGGUAGUAGGUGGGGUAACGGCUCACCUAGGCGACGAUCCCUAGCUGGGCUGAGAGGAUGACCAGCCACACGGGAAAUGAGACACGGUCCAGAAUCCUACGGGAGGCAGCAGUGGGGAAUAUUGCACAAUGGGCGCAAGCCUGAUGCAGCCAUGCCGCGUGUAUGAAGAAGGCCUUCGGGUUGUAAAGUACUUUCAGCGGGGAGGCGUUACCCGCAGAAGAAGCACCGGCUAACUCCGUGCCAGCAGCCGCGGUAAUAC